UGCUGUAGAAAAACAUUUACCAUUUGAAAACGCCAAAUUUUGUCUGAUUUUGGAAGCUAACCAGAGUUUUGGCCUGGUUAGCGCUUCGAUGGGAGGUCACUGGGAAUCGCAGGUGCUGUGGCGG
rnacentral:rRNA from 1 species